CCGCACCUCCGCAGUGACCCCAGCCGCUGCAGUGGGAUUCUUAACCCACUGUGCCAUAGCGGGAACCCCAGGGAGCCGCUGGUUUUAAUGAAACUCAUUGUAGAGAAUCCUGACGUUGAUGGACGGAUGGAGUCAGGUGCUAACUUCUUCUGCGGCCGUGAAGGGACAGGUGGAGCCAGCAGCGCGCAUGGGAGGCGCGCGUCCCCGACGCUCAGCCCUUCAUGCUGCUGCGCAUCCCGAGGGAAGAAGGAGGAGGGCAGAGGAGCCCCAGCCUGGCUGGCGCCUCUGGGAUCUGGGAACAGAAGGGGAGCCCUGGGAGCUGUGAGUAGGGCCGGCCACAGGCUUGCAGAGCUCAGUGCAGAAAACAAAUGCCGAACUCCUGGUGAGGCCCUCUGUCAUCAGUGGUUAAACCCAUUACACCUGUAACCUGCCCUCACUAAUCUAAGUCGUUUCCAUUGCUGCUACAGAAAACUUGCUUGUCCUCCAAGGGGCAUGUAGCCUGAACAAUGAGCUGUUUGCCCAAGUUGUUGUCCAGGACCUUGGAACCAGCUGUGUCCAGUUGAAGCUGAGCCGGUUAAGAGUGGAUAGGACCCCUAACCUUCCAACGGGGCAUGCGCAAGUGUCCGCUCGGGGUCCUUUUGACGUCAGAGGGCUGGAAACCACCCUGGGAUCACAUGCAGCGCCUCUAUUUAACACGCAGAGGCUCUGGGGCGGUUACGCCUGCGCAGAGUGGCCAUCACGGCCCCUUUCCCCAAUCACCUUUCCCCGCGCUUCGCACGCUCCAGACCGCCUUCUUCCUUAUCCUAUAAAUGCCCCAGGCCCCUUGCCCUCCAGGAUGGGGCACGUCUGAGAUGUUUCUCUUGGUUCUUCGCUUGGCUGCCUGCCUCCUGUGCGAGGGUGAAGCGGCCAUCUGCUGUGUUCACCCCCACGGUCGCAGUACUCAGAGCAGCGCGUGGCACGCUUGGCCCUCGGACACGCCCCCGAGCCCCGGGACGAGCAGAGGGACAAGGCAUACUGGGCGGUCCCUGCUUGGAGGGCUCACCAUCCAGCGGAAAAGCGAGCCAGCCGACGAGUGCGACCAGCCCAGGAGUUGGGUGACCUGCAGGACGCCCUGAGAGCAAGGACCACGGUCUCUCCAGGACACGCAAGAAUCGUGUGGUCCACACUGGGUAAUGUGGACUCCCUGAAUUUAGAGUUUGUAACUGGUCUGCCAGAGAACGGAUUGGACCGUCCCUUCGAAUUCGCAGUGAAGGAACCGAUUAAGAGCGUGAUCCUGACGGCCUGGGACAUGCGUCGCCUGCUUACAGGAACCAGCUCCAUGCCCUUGCAGACCCUCUGUUCCUGUGUCAUAAAUUAAUACGGGGAUUACCGAUGGUGCUUCUCCAGGUUGACCAGAAGUCUGGUGGGUGCCAUUCUCUUGGUUUGGGUUGUGCUCGGGGUUGCACCUGAGGUCGCUAAAUACAGCUGCUCCCUCUAGGAUGCAUGUGGAACAUUCGUCCACAACGAAGCUGGGAAGCAAUUAAGGGCUCAGGCCGGGGGGCAGGUGGCGGGGGUUUAGCCCCAGUUAUGCCAUUUGCCACCCAGAUUGGUUCUUCAAUCUCAGUGAGCAUCAGUUUUUCCACCUGUAAAAUGGGGGUUGGGGGCGAGCAGGGGCAGAGGGGAGAGGCGUACCACCUGACAGGUCAGCAGCAAUGUGCCAGGUUUGUGAAAGGGCCCACCUUGGGGGCAGAGCCUCCAGCCAUCCAAGGCCGGCAGCUGCUGGAAAGACCCCAAGGAGGAGCCCCCCAGCGAGCCCCUCCUGCAGUCCUGACUCACGGAAACUUUUAAGAUCAUAAGUGGCUUAAGUGGUGUAAGCAAAAUCCUGCUACUAAGAAGAGCAGUGACCUGCAGGGGACCCGCCGAGGGUGAAAUGAGUCAAUGCCCUGAAAGCGAUUGGGACAGUCUUGGCAUGUGGGAGGAGAGGGCCAAGUUUGCCCAGUGUGCGACACAAAAGAGCAGGCAGAAUGCCCGGGCUUUCUUGGGGGCUGGGGGCAUCGGGGUAGGGUUGCCAGACCAAGCAACCUAAAACGUGGGAGACCUGGUUCAACCUGAACUUCAGAUAAACCGUACACACGAUUUUCGGAGAAGCCCCUGCUGGGACGCGCUGUGCUGCGCGGUUCCUCGCGGUUCAUCUGCAGCGCAACUGGGCUGCGUGUCCUGGACAUCGUCGGGGAAUCUGAGUCGGAGGGGAUUGCGUGGCUCCCAUUCCAGCAGAUGGUUGUCCCUGGCGGGCUCAGCCCUCUAGGCCCUAAUUGGAAAACAAAACAAAGCAGCAGUUUUUGAGCGGAAAACUGACUUUGGCAAUUAGCAAACCUGACAGCAAGACGGAGGAAUGACCAUUUGGGGCGCUUCCUGGCAGAGGUGUUAGCGGGAAUGCUCCAUCUGUAAACAGUCCGACAAAAUGAGCGAAGGACUUGCAAAUGUUCAGACCCCAGACUUUGAUCACAAAGGGAUUCAUCACGAUGUGACAUAAAAUAGCAGAAUUCCUGGGGUGGGGGGAGAACCUGUUGCUUAAAUGCUGAUAAUCUGAAAUGUUCAGAAGCGAGAAGUUUGAAACCAGCUUUGUCCAAAGUGUGGCACUCCUGCCAGCGACUCGGGGAUAGGGGCUCCAGAAGUGCUUAGGGUCCGACUGGCCGCUGUGGCCAGGGAAACGCUGGUGUGUGGUUUCAGCCAUGGGUGCCAGGCUCCCCGAUGCCAAGGCUGCUGCGAGUGUUUUACUGGGUCCUGGAAUAUAGGGCCGGGGGUGACAGCAGCCUGGAUCAGCCAAGGCUGGAGUCCACAGCCCAGUAUUUGGGGAACUGGUGGGCGGUGGACUCCGCAUGAUGUUCACGUGUGAGGACGAGUUUGGGGCAGGGCGGUUUCCUAAAGGACAGAGACAAGGCAGGAGGGUUCUGGGCGGUCCCCUCACCUCCCCCCAACCCCUGCCCGGUGGACUUGAGCCGCCGUCUCACCAGACUGUGAAUCCACACAGCUGCGGCCCCUAGGACCAGGGACGCAGGGCCAGGACAGGGUCCCUUGCCGCCUUUCUGCCCCAAGCCCGGCAGUUCAGGGCCAGCUUCCCCACUCGUGAGCGCAGUGCUGGGGCCACGAGACUUCCAGGGCCCUUCGAUGCUGUUGCCAUUUCUUUUAAAGUCAGAAGAAAAAGGAGGAGGGCUGGGGGGAGAGCGGGAGAGGGAGUUGGGGUGAGCAGAUGCAAACUAUUACACAGAGGGCGGGUAAACAGCAGGGUCCCACUGCAGAGCACGGGGAACUCUAGUCAAUAUCCUGAGAUAAACCCUAACGCAGAAGAGUAUAAAAAGGGGUGUGUGUGUGUAUGAAUCUAUAUAUAUCGGAAUGUGUGAUAUCAUGUAUAUAUGUGUCUGGAUCACUUUGCUGUACAGGAGAAAUAACACAAUUCUGUAAACCAACUACACGUCAAUUAAAAAGAAAAAAGGACAUUAUAAUAAUAUCUAAUAGCAGAUCUGGCCUGGAUUACAUUCGUCCUUGUGCCAGUGCUGCCGUAAAGUAUACUUUCCGAUGCUUUUCAUAGAGAAGGCAAAAGUGCGCGGGUCCACAAAAACCACCCCGUGGUCCCAGGCGGUUUCAGCACCUCAUCAGCGAGGCCUUUCUCUGCAGAUGGGUUUUCUCCUAGAACUUUGAGGAAGAGAAGGAGGUCAGUGUUCUGCUGGAAGAUGAGUGGUCCUGCAUCUACACAACUUGUGGGGACCCCCCCCGCCCCCUCACCGCCAGAGAUUCUGCCUGCGCAGAUGGGGGCAGAAGCACAGGGCAGUGUUAACCCACUGCUAUCAAACGCUGAGGUGUGGGGUGCGGCCUCAGGCGUCUCAGCUCCUUCACCGGCCUGAGUGCUCUGGACUGGACGCCUGGCCCCCCACCGCCAGGUGACCAUGGCAAGUCCUUUGACCUCUGCCUACUUUGGUUUUCCCGUCUAUAAAGUGGGGACAGCAAGGACACUUUUCUCACUAUGGAAUGGUUGUGAGGACCAGGUGAGCUGGUGCUUAUCAAUGCUUAGAAGGGGGUGUGCCAGGCACAUGUCAUCAAUGAGAAUAAGAAGAAGGAGGGGCCAAGAGGGAGGGUCUGUGUCCCCUAACCCUUCACCACGCAGCCCAGCUCACGUCGCACGACAAGUCCCCUCAGGCCACGCUAAGCCUCCUCCAGGACGCAAUGGGGGUUCCUGGAAGGCGCACCGUGUCAGACGAGGCGUCCCUGAGUGCUUGUCUUUGCAGGGUGUGUGCGUUAGAAGAAUGGCAAGGAGGCAGGGUGCCACCUCCCAGGGCAUUAGGAUUCAUCUCAGGGGGCACCAUUCUGUGUCCACAGAACAACUGCACCCAGCCUGGCGAGGCUGUGGUGUCUGCCAGGCCCUGCUGGGGAAAUGGAUGCUGAUGAAAAGAGUCUUCCAGCCCGUCCUUCAAACGGCUCAGAAUCGCACGUGAGCCAAAGGGCCUGAUGGGAACAAAUCCAGACCCAAUUGGGUGCCAGGCUCUGGACGUGGCCGCGGGGUUCUGAGGCUGGUCCUUGCCUUCUAGAAACUGGUCCUGUGGGUAGAGGCAUCCAAGCUCUAAGACACAUAAACAGGGGGAGCCCAGGGUGGUAAGCGUUCUGGAGGCAGCAUGCAGGAUGCACGCAAAGCCUCCAGGCCCACAGCCCGAUGGCCGUGGUGCAAAUCCUGGCUCCGUGACUUAGGGCAACUUACUCAAUCUCUCUGUGGUUUCUGUGAGGGUUAAAUGAGAGAGUACACCCCAGUGUUUGGAAAACGGGCACAAGUUCCCUGUUAUUUUUCAGCCUUGGGAUUGUGGGAAGGCAUUGGGAAGGCUUCCUGGAGGAGGCAGCCCCUAAAAGGAAGCCUCAAAGGAUGGAAUGGUGUGCCAGGGGGAGAAGAUUUCAGGCAUCGGGAAAGCCCAGGGUGCAAGGUGACAGAGGUGGGAGGGGCUGCUGGCUGGCAGGAAAAGUCUGCUCAGGAGGGAUUUAUGGCUGUGACAUGCACCCUCUCUGCCCUCCUUUAUGCCAUGAGACUAAGCUCUUGGGAGAUGAGAAGCCACAUUCAGGAGAGCCCAGUUGUCCCAGUUGAGGCCAUCUGAGGCCAAUGACAGCCACCCGACAGUCAGCUAGCCCCCAAACACGUGAGAGAGCCCAGCCAAGACCAGCAGAGCCAUCCACCUAAACUGCAGAGGACCUCACAAGGGUGAGUGAGGCUGGAAGAGCCACUGGCUGAUCCAUAGACGCAUGAACAAUAAUAGGUGUCUGUUAUUUUAAGCAUUUGAGUUUGGGGCUUGUUUGUUAUGAAGCAAGGGCUAGCUGAGGUAUAGUAAAUAGACCAAGGCUUAGAAAGAAGAAUCAACUUGCCCAAAGUCACAAGACUGGUGGGUGUCAGGUCCAGAGUAUAGACCCUGAGUCCAAUGGAGUCAGUCCCCAUAAAAACAUAACCAGAGUCAGCAGGAGGUUUGUUUCAAUAACCUAAACAACUUCGUGGAGGAAUAAACAUCACGUCUUGACUGCCUAUGGCCUGGAAUCUCUCCAGUGGCCCUCGGCUCCCAGGCGGAGCAGCAAGAGAACAUCCCAGCGUGUUUGUAGCUCAGACUCUGUUCCUUAGCACCUCGUGGGGACUCCUGGCUCUUGGAAAUGAACAUAUUGGGCUGCAUUGAGGCAAGAGGAACACGACAGAGACAAUGAUUCCAAAAAGCUCUAAUUGAAGUAACAGCAAAACCAAUUUGGUGCAACACAUAGCUGGAGGACCUCAUGGUUCUGGAAGGCACAGCUCAGGGAGCAUGAAUGCUCUUCCCUGGCUGCAUGGCCAAUGGUAUGGAGGUUCCGCCCAGCAAAGGGGGUGGGCGAGUCCUGGCCUGGACCCAGUGUCACCUUCAGGACUUUCUUGAGUCUGGCUUUCCUAUAGAUCACCUGGGUGCUUACCUAUGAGGCAGAGAUGCCAGAGAACACUGUUCUGGAGCGAUGGAGAGGCCUGGACAAAAGUGGCAAAGAGGUCAAGGGCAUGGACUUCAAGUCAGGUUUGAUCCGGCCUCUGAGCUGCUGGCAAUUACAUCUUCAGAGUCUCUUUCUCCUCAUCAUAAAAGACAGACAAUAAUAACACUUGACCGUGAGAAGCAGAGGAGAGAGAUGAUGGCUAGAGGCCACAUUGGCCUUUCCGCUUCAAGGCUCCCUCCUCCCUAGCACCUAGCAAGGUACUUGUUGUGCAUUAGGCUCUGGAUUAGUCUGCUAGAAAAAAUAGUGUAGCCAUUCACUGAACACCUCUUAGGUGUCAAGUGCUUUAUGUAUUGUAUCUGUUAGGGUUCUCCAGGGAGUAAGUGUAUAAAAAGAUACAUAUAUAUCUUAUAUAAAGGAGUUCCCAUCGUGGCUCAGUUGUU